CAGCAGCCGCGGGAAUACGAGGGGGGCAAGCGUUGUUCGGAGUUAUUGGGCGUAAAGGGUGCGUAGGCGGCUUGACAAGUCUUGUGUGAAAUCUAUGGGCUCAACCCAUAGUCUGCACGGGAAACUGUCGGGCUUGAGAAUGGGAGAGGUGAGUGGAAUUUCCGGUGUAGCGGUGAAAUGCGUAGAUAUCGGAAGGAACACCUGUGGCGAAAGCGGCUCACUGGACCAUUUCUGACGCUGAUACACGAAAGCUAGGGGAGCAAACAGGAUUAGAUACCCCAGUAGUCCCUGUCUCUUAUAC
rnacentral:rRNA from 1 species